AUUAAGGGCAUACCGACGUGGCGGCAUGUAGACGAGGCUACUCAAUCUGCUAUCAUACAAUCUGUCCUUGACAAGUUCAAAAUCUCGGAUGAUUAUCAUGGCAAUCUAGUAGCUCAGCAAGCUGUCCACAGAAAAUGCUACAAUAUUCACAGAAAUUGGAGGCACAAUAUGAAAUUGCAUUACAAACAUGUUAAGAACGUCUUACAUGUGGAUCCUUAUAGUCAUCCAUACGAACAUGUGACUCAAGAGGAUUGGCGCCACUUAAUUGACGAUGUAUGGAAAAGCAAAGAACACAAGGUAACUUACAUAUUUAGUGCUUCAGAGUUUAUAAGUAAAAUAUUUGAUCAUAAUGUUUUCUUUAGAUUUUUAAUUUGUAUUUUUUUUGAAGGUGAGAUCAAAAGCUGGCAAAAAGAAUAGGAAAAAGCUUGAGUACAAUCAUUGUUCAGGAUCUCGGUCAUUUGUUGCAACAAUGACUAUACAGGUAAUAUAUUUUUGAGUAUGUACUGGCUAUAUUUUUAGUGAAUUGCCUGUGAAACAGUCUAUGGGAUAGUUUUGGCUAUUGUAAAAUAGAUAAUUUGCUGCAAGUAGAUUUUUUAUUCUAGUUUGCUGCAUGUAUAUUUUUGGAAUCAUUUAUGCAAGUAGAUCUGACAGUUAUUCUAGUUUUUUUAUUAUAUAGUGGCUAUAUGCUAAUCUAAAUUACACUUUGCAGCCCGAGUUUAAUGGUUCUGAAAACCUUGAAUUUCCAGAAUUCUAUAAGAAAACUCAUACCAAGAAGAACAAAGAGUGGAUUGAUCCUAUUUGUGCCGUGAAACAUUCAAAGAUGUUGAGCUUGCGAGAAGAAUCUUCCCAAUCCGGUGUGCAAUUAACAUCAGAGGAGAUGUCUAGGCAGGCACUUGAAAAAAGGAAGAGAUACAUUCUUGGAUUUGGGGAUGGGCUGAAGCCCUCUUCAUCUUCUUCCACACCUAGUCGUGUGUCACAAGACCAUGUUGGGGAGUUACAGAAACUUAAAGCUGAGAUGGAGGAGAUGAAGAUGGAGCGUGAGAUGGAGCGUGAGAAGCUGCGGAGGCAAUUGGAACAGGAGAGGAGAGAGCGUGAGGAGAAAAAGAAAGAGCGAGAGGAAGAACAGAAGCAAAUUGCAUCUUACAAGUUUGGUGACAGAGUUCUUAAAGGAAAAGACUCAAACGCAUAAGUCGUCUAUCCAUCAUGAUGGGGCCAUGUCAUCAACUGGUGGCACAAAUACUCGUUGAUACAUGGUGGAGUUAUGAGCAUGUGAAUCUAGUUUUUGGUACAUGGAUAGCUUUUGUUCAGAUGAUCAUGGUGGAGUUGUCUACAAGCAGAAAUCAGUUUUUUGUUUAUUCAUAUUUUUAUCUACAUGAUGGUUGUUUGGAUAAAUUGCAAGAUCAGAUAUUUUGGGAUUUUUAAUUUACAUGUUGAUGUGUUUGGUGAUGAUUAUCACCUUAACAUAUUGUAUGGAUGAAACAUUUUGAUGAAUGGUUAAUAGGUUUGCUUGACUUUAGACUUAUAGAUGAUGAUAUUUAUAAUGAAUGAUUAUGGAUUCUCCAACAUUGUGUAUA